UACAGGGGGGGCAAGCGUUGUUCGGAAUUACUGGGCGUAAAGAGCUCGUAGGCGGUCUGUCGCGUCGGAUGUGAAAGCCCGGGGCUUAACCCUGGGUCUGCAUUCGAUACGGGCAGACUAGAGUGUGGUAGGGGAGAUCGGAAUUCCUGGUGUAGCGGUGAAAUGCGCAGAUAUCAGGAGGAACACCGGUGGCGAAGGCGGAUCUCUGGGCCAUUACUGACGCUGAGGAGCGAAAGCGUGGGGAGCGAACAGG
rnacentral:rRNA from 1 species